CUCCCCCGCACUUUGCACAAAUCCCCCCCCUCACCCUACACCGCCCCCCCCCGCACUUUGCACCGGCCCGCCCCCGCACCCUACACCGACCCCCCCACGCACCCAACGAGCCCGGGCAUCACCCGAAACCGACACCACUGUAGAAAUGGGAGGUGGGUGUGGAAGCGAGUCCCACCUGGCGCGGUGGGAGUCCGGGAGCUGUUUUCCCGAGUUAAAGCCUGUGGCCGGUGCAGAUUUGGGAGCAGAACCGGCGAGGUUCGCCCAACCCACAGUUCAGUUCUGCACUGAGACCAGAAAGUGAAAAUGGCUGGAAACAAGGAAACAAGAAGUGAUUUAUUUUUUUCCCCCCAUCGCGGCUGAGCCUGACGCAGGGUGCGGGGUCAGCGUUGCACCGAGCUGUGCUGCCCCACGUUAUCCCGAUCUGGGAGGUGACCUGAUGGGGAAGUGGGUGCCCAGUGCUUGGGAAAAGCUGUGCAUCCACAAGGCCCCCUGAAAAGAAGGUGCUUGAAAUCAUUCCCUGCUUCUUCGGCUCAGCAGGGCUCUGCAAAACUGCAGGCACCGAUUGUCUACCCCCAAAAUGCAGCUGCCUCCAGAGGGGAUGUGGGGGACCAGAGGAUGGCCCCGAGGGGGAGGACAUCUCAUCCCACACUGCCCUGCGUCCCGGCGACUGCCACCGAGCCCUGCAAAGCUGCAUAUGGGAUUUGGGUGCCUAAUUCCUGCUAAUUUCCCUGGGAAAGGGGAAACCAGAUCCUCUAAGGCAGCUCUGGAAAAAACCUCAGCCCAGGUUGUUGGGUAAUUGGAAGGGCUACCCGACUAAUUAAGAGCGUGGUGUGUUUGGCACCUCCAAAGCCCUCUUGAACACCAGUUAAUUAAUCCACGUGGUUCUGGGUCUUGCAGAGAUAGGUGACAUUACCCUUUUUUCACACAUGGGGGAACGUGUGUAUUGGAGGUGGGGAGACUUGUCUGAGGCCAGGUGAAGAGCACGUUUCACCGGUGUCAGUGUCAGGUCCGGUGCUCCUGGUGCACCGUGUCCCUCUCAGAUCCCUGUCAGUGUCAGGUCCAGUGCUCCUGGUGCACCGUGUCCCUCUCAGAUCCCUGUCAGUGUCAGGUCUGGUGCUCCCGGUGCACCGUGUCCCUCUCAGAUCCCUUUACUCAACGUUGCUGGUCGCUGGGAUUUGUGUUUCACGCUGUGCCUGGAGCACGCCCCUGCGCCGCUCCAGUCCCCGGCUGCGCUGCGCGGAGUGUUUGCUGAGGAUCCUUCUUCUGCGCAAGCGGUUUUGCAAAAUGCAAAGGCAGGACUUGGCUUGCUCUGAAGCUGAGUGUUCUCAUUUCCAGCAUCCUCGGGUUGAUGGAGGCAGGGGCACAUAUUUGGCUCCUCUGUAUGGAGGAACACCUCUCCCCACAGCCUCCUGGAUGCUCUCGGUGUCUCUGAGAACGGGACAUGUCUUGGCUGGCAAAAACCAGUUCAGCUGCAGAAGGUGCACGAGGCUGGGCAGGGGGACAGCAGCAAGGUCUGACCCAGGUCUGGGCUUACUGUUUCAGUCAUGUCCAUCCAUUCCACCCAUUUCUGCCCAAAGCUGCUCCUUCUCUGCAAGAUAAGUGAUGGCAGCACAAGGAAGAAAGCUCUGCAGACUGGUCCAAGAUGAUUAACCACCUUUGUUAAUUCUUUCCCAGCACAAUACAGUGAGCAUCACAUUUACCCUGCUGGGUGUUUCUAACUUACUCAAGGCACCGCAGGGCUGAACUCCUGGCUGCAGCUCCCAUCCUGGGAGCACAUCUCCGGCAUCGAGCACCCUGAGAGCACAGCCCUCAGGAAGGGCUUUGCUGAGAUGUGCCGUGUCCUGAAGAGUCUCCAGCAGAGAAGGAACACUUCGCCUUCCUCAAAGAAGCAGAAGGACUUGUCCACGUCCAUGUGGGAGAUGUGGUAGUAGAGUGGGGCUCAUGAGACCAUCCUUCCUCCCAUUGCUGUUACCUUGGAGCUUGCGUGAAAAUUCAUGCUGAAAUAUUUAUUACUGACUGCAAUCGAUAGU